ensembl:lncRNA
GCUCAGUGUUGGAGGCGGGGCCUGGUGGGAGGUGAUUGGAUCAUAAAGGUGGAUGCUUCAUAAUGGUUUAGCACCAUUGCCCCGAUGCUGUUCUCAUGACAGUGAAUGACUUCUUAUGAGAUCUGGUUGUGAAAAAGUGCAGCACUUCCACCCUCUGUCUUUUGCUCCUGCUCCGGCCAUGUAAGAUGAGCCUGAUUCCCCUUCACCUCUGCCAUUGUAAGUUUCCUAAGGCCUCCCCAGAAGCUGACCAGAUGCCAGCAUCAUGCUUCCUCUACAAGAUACUAUAACAGUCUACCAUAACCUGAGUGGCUUAAAAGAAAUAUAUACUUUCACAGUUUUGGAGGCUAGAAAUCUAAAGUCAAGUUAUAGCCAGGACGAUGCUCUCUCUGACACUCUGGGAGGUGGAAGGCAUGAAAAUAGGUUAAAGAUAUAAUUGGGAAAGAAGUAGCACAGCAGCACUCAUGACAGCCAGGAUUGGAGCAAGAGUUGAACAAGCAAGACAUAGUCUGUCAAGCUGCACAGCGAACAUCUUAUUUGUCACAGAUGACUUUUGGGGGUUGUUUGUAACAAAGGCAAAGUGAAGAGUGAGAGAGGAGGAAGGAAGAAACUGGUCCAGCAGACAUUAGGAUGGCUUCUCAGUAAUAUUCCUUCAAACCAAGAACAGCCUGAAAACUUAACUGCAGGUCCUGGAUAAGAAAAAGCCCAUGUCCCUAAAUGGAAAUUCCCAUUCUGCCAGUGUAAAUGGAUCAUGCUUCACAUUGUUUAAAUGAAAAUAGAACUUUUUGUGCAAAGCGUAAUUCAAAUGUUGACACUAUUGAUAAAGAAAAAGAUGAGGAUAAAUAAGAAUAAUGUAAAUCUUUGCCGGUGACGUCCCUGUCCAAAGUUAAUUUUAAGUGGCAAUGGAUGAAGUUCACAGUGAUGUCAAGUAUCUCCUUUUCGUUGUUAGUUAACCAAGAAAGAAUACUUACCAUACCCGAAUAUUAACACCAGAAGGAUUAGCUUAAUGGCUCUAGCCUGAAGGCUGUUGUUGGAAAAAAAAAAAUGGCUAGUUCUGUAUUUUUACAGCAAUAACGCCCUUUAGGGUGCUUUUUUAAAAACUGAGAGAUGACAUUUUUUGAAUAGAUUUUCUAAGCCUCGCAUCCUGAAUUACUCAAAAGCAACUAAUUUUUAAACUCUUUGAAACUUAAAAGAGACACAAAAAAUGUGAGUCUCAUGCAACAAGCCUCUAAACUAGCUCUAACUUGUGUUUCAGAAAUAUGAUCACUUGAUAAUCCUGAAGACCAACUGGGGAAAGAAUGGUGGAAAGGGAAAUACUCCAUUAGUACAGAUAUUUCUCUAAUUUCUUGGUUUAUAAUCCACUGCACUUCCAAAAUUAGAAUAUUGGGAAUUAAAGAUGUUUAGUAUAAAAUUAUAAAAAUGUCAGUGUCAUAUUUGUCCUCAUUGAUGUUAACUUAGGUGUUGUUUGUUCUUUUUUUUUUUUUUUGAGACUGAGUUUCGCUCGUUACCCAGGCUGGAGUGCAAUGGCGCGAUCUCUGCUCACCGCAACCUCCGCCUCCCAGGUUCAGGCAAUUCUUCUGCCUCAGCCUCCUGAGUAGCUGGGAUUACAGGCACGCGCCACCGUGCCCGGCUAAUUUUUUGUAUUUUAGGGAAAGACGGGGUUUCACCAUGUUGAGCAGGAUGGUCUCGAUCUGUUGACCUCGUGAUCCACCUGCCUCGGCCUCCCAAAGUGCUGGGAUUACAGGCGUGAGCCACCGCGCCCGACCCUGAUGUUGUUCAUUCUUAACAAAAUGAAAGUUUCUUAGAAUGCAG